CAACAUGAAGCUUUUAAUUCUCUUUGGAGCUCUUUGCUUGGCUGCGGUUGCAGUGAGGUCUGCCUCCGUCGAGGAUAUCGAAGGUCUAGAAGAAUACGAUCUUGUCGAUAAAGUCGAAGAUCUCGAUGAUGCACCGGUCGCGCAGCCAUUUUUGAGUUGUCAAUUGUGUGGAAACCCAUGUUGCAUUGCUCGCUGCAGAGCAAUGGGCAAGUCAUCGGGUACAUGCACCAGACACAAAAUAUGCGUUUGUCGGUACGUAAUUUUUUGAAAAUUUUUGUGCAGCUACAUAAUAAAAUUAUUCGCAUAUUAACGAGUUCCGAUCUACCAUUUGCUUUCAGUAAAUAGCUGAACGAUUAGUGGAUCCGAAUUCCUGUGUGAACAACGUAACACUUAUCCAGAAUUACUUAAAUAUUUUCAAUAUGUAUGUACGUUCGUCUUCGACGACAGAUUUCAGAAUUAAUAACAUUCUUUGCUUUUAACUACUUGUAAAA